rnacentral:lncRNA from 1 species
UUAUUACUCUGCUGGUACAUUUUUAGUUUCUUUUACAAUCUUGUAAGGAGCUUUGCUCCAUCUCUCUUUGAUUAAUUUAUUAUUUUGCUAGGAUUACUUUUUGUUAUAAAACUAAUGACACAUGUCUAAGUGAUAAUUCAGUUGACAAAAACAGUGCAUUAUUAUAUGUUGGAGCAGGGGUUCGAAUCCCAACAUCUCACUUAUUUAUUUUAAAAGGUGAAUUCUCUUUGUUUAAUCUUCCGUUUUGGUUACCCGUAAAGGUUAAUAGAGGAAGUAAAAAAUAGUUUUAUCCAACUGUUUUUAUUUCUUUCUUGAAGUAGAGUUUUAUCCUAAUUGUUGUUUUCCAAGUAUCGGUCAUACGGGGGCCUUUUGUUGAAUCAUUAUCAUAGCUCGGUAUAUAAUUUGAUAAGCCAAUGAUUUUUUUUUCUGUGUUAAAUAAUACUGUUAACCAACAUUUUAACUAAUCAAUUACGAUAAAUUGGAUCAGAUUUUGUGGUUUUUUUGGAUCAGAUUAUGCGUAAUGUAUUGUAAUAUUGCCAUCAAUUAAGUAUUUGUGUGGUGCAAUCUGUUUCUGUUCAGUGCCAGUUUCUAGCAGCAUCACACUUACAUCUUGCAAGGAUUAUGGAUUGUUUUUUUCACUUACAUCAAUUGAAUCAUUGUUUGGUGAAUCCAAGAAACAGAAGCAGAAUACAAAGCAUUCUAUAUUUGCUUAAAGGCCUUGAUCACAUGCACAGUGAAUUAGAAAAGAAUCGAAUGC